GACAGCAGCCGCCGCGGGAAUACGGAGGAUCCAAGCGUUAUCCGGAAUCAUUGGGUUUAAAGGGUCCGUAGGCGGUCUUGUAAGUCAGUGGUGAAAGCCCAUCGCUCAACGGUGGAACGGCCAUUGAUACUGCAGGACUUGAAUUAUUGGGAAGUAACUAGAAUAUGUAGUGUAGCGGUGAAAUGCUUAGAGAUUACAUGGAAUACCAAUUGCGAAGGCAGGUUACUACCAAUUGAUUGACGCUGAUGGACGAAAGCGUGGGUAGCGAACAGGAUUAGAUACCCCUGUAGUCCCUGUCUCUUAUAA
rnacentral:rRNA from 1 species